GAACUUAGCAGAGAUGCUUUGGUGCCUUCGGGGAACUCUGAGACAGGUGCUGCAUGGCUGUCGUCAGCUCGUGUUGUGAAAUGUUGGGUUAAGUCCCGCAACGAGCGCAACCCUUAUCCUUUGUUGCCAGCGGUCCGGCCGGGAACUCAAAGGAGACUGCCAGUGAUAAACUGGAGGAAGGUGGGGAUGACGUCAAGUCAUCAUGGCCCUUACGAGUAGGGCUACACACGUGCUACAAUGGCGCAUACAAAGAGAAGCGACCUCGCGAGAGCAAGCGGACCUCAUAAAGUGCGUCGUAGUCCGGAUUGGAGUCUGCAACUCGACUCCAUGAAGUCGGAAUCGCUAGUAAUCGUGGAUCAGAAUGCCACGGUGAAUACGUUCCCGGGCCUUGUACACACCGCCCGUCACACCAUGGGAGUGGGUUGCAAAAGAAGUAGGUAGCUUAACCUUCGGGAGGGCGCUUACCACUUUGUGAUUCAUGACUGGGGUGAAGUCGUAACAAGGUAAGCGUAGUGCU
rnacentral:rRNA from 1 species